GAAAUGCGAUAAGUAAUGUGAAUUGCAGAAUUCAGUGAAUCAUCGAAUCUUUGAACGCACCUUGCGCUCCUUGGUAUUCCGAGGAGCAUGCCUGUUCGAGUGUCAUGAAGUUAUCAACUCGGUUUGCUUUGUUGCAAAUCGUAGCUUGGAAUUGGAGCUUGUCGGCGCUCGUUCGUCGACUGCUCUGAAAUGCAUUAGCCAUUGCAAUUGUCCGAAGGGCUGCUUCAGUGUAAUAAUCAUGUGCACGAGCAACCUUUGACUGCAGCAAGGCUCAUAAAAAACCCCAUAACUUUCAUCUUUUGACCUCGAAUCAGGUAGGACUACCCGCUGAACUUAA
rnacentral:misc_RNA from 1 species